rnacentral:snRNA from 1 species
AUGCCCCCUUUAGCAGCACAUAUACUAAAAUUGGAAUGAUACAGAGAGGAUUAGCAUGGCCUUGUUCAAGGGUGACAUGCAAAUUUGUGAAGGGUUCCAUAUUUUU